CCUGCUCAAUGUUAUAUAAAUAGCCGCAGUUUUCUGUGCUAAGGUAGCAUAAUAAAUUGUCUUUUAAUUAAAGAAUAGAAUGAAGGAUGUACGAAUUAUUAACUUUUCCAUUUAUAAUAAAUAAAAUUGAUUCUAAUGUAAAAACCCAUUAAUAUGAAGAAAAGACGACAAGACCCUAUUGAACUUGACUUAGAGUUAAGCUGGGGUGGCUAACAAAUGAAAACUUAAAUUUUUAAUUAAAAACAAACUAUAAAAAUAAGUAAAACAAGUUACCACAGGGAUAACAGCACAAUAAAAUACAAAAGUUCAAAUAAAAUAUUCAUUUUGUGACCUCGAUGUUGAAUUAUUAAAUCUAAUUUAAGAAAAAAUAAAUAAAGUAUGUCUGUUCGACAUUUAUAAUAAUACAU
rnacentral:rRNA from 1 species